rnacentral:rRNA from 1 species
CCGUAAGGAGGGCGAUUACCACGGUAGGAUUCAUGACUGGGGUGAAGUCGUAACAAGGUAGCCGUAUCGGAAGGUGCGGCUGGAUCACCUCCUUUCAGAGCUU